rnacentral:misc_RNA from 1 species
UAUCGAUUCUUCAUCUUACAGCACAAG